GGGCCACAUGCAGCCCGCGGGCCGUAGUUUGGGGAUGCCUGAUCUUCGCAAUAACAUAUAUUAAUGUCCCAACUGUAUUUUGUGGAAUGCAGAAGUAUUCUACUAACAGGGUAGAAAGCACUGGGUUCCUGGUGUUUAUUGUGUACCUUCUCAGAUCCUUAAAUGUGGGGAUGUGCACUGUAGACCUGCAGGAGCUGCCUGUAGGAUACAGUGUUUCCCAAAAACUGUUGGCCACAGGGGCACCUGUGGAGCAGCAUGGCCUGGGAAUACUAUUUCCCUACUAGAAGUCAGCAAAGCAGAUAGUUGUCAUUGAUCCUGUAAAAGAAUGCAUGAAGCAGAUAUUGAAAAUACUUAGGCCAAAUUUGAAAACCUCUUUGAGUGUGUAAACCAGUAAAAAUCAUCCAAGAAGCCUGUUCUUACUGAUGAAUGAGAGAAGAGGAAAUAGCUGAGAGUUUGACUGCUUUCUUAAGAACUUUGGCAUAAAGAGGAGGGGAGAGGUUGAAAUGGAGAGAUUCCAAGGAACGUGCUUAGAACUGAUCAAAAUGCUUCAGUCAGGAGGAGGAAGGUAUGGAGGGAAGAGUACCAAGUCAGUGAACCAAGUCCCUCACAGUGGCCCAGAUCCAGAGUCUAGAGAAAUGGCUUCACUUGUUCACAGGAGGAAGGGCAGGGCAGAGAAUCAGGUGAGCCUGUGGGGUUGUAGGUAGGGGGGGAUGUUGUGUGAUGUGGCCGCAGUUGGUCUGUAAGGAAGAGGUGGAAUCAUCUGCGGAGAGUGAGUUGGGGACAUUGAUGAUUAUGGCCUCCAGAUUAUUUAUGAAAAGGUAGGGUAUCUGAAACCGGCUUUGAAAUUAGCCAGUGGGGAGCUGGAAGAGGCGAGUCCGGUCUCAAAAUGGAGGUAAAACCGCCGCCCGGUCACCCCCAGCCCAACUCCGGCUGUUGCCGUUGCCGCUGGCGGGAGGAGGGCCAUGAUCCAAAGGAACCAGAGCAGUUGAGAAAACCGUUUAUUGGUGGUCUGAGCUUUGAAACUACAGAUGUUAAGAUAACAUUUUGAGAAAUAGGGCACACUUACAGAUUGUGUGAUAAUGAGAGAUCCCGAAACCAAACGUUCCAGGGGCUUUGGUUUUGUGACUUAUUCUCAUGUUGAAGAGGUGGAUGCCGCAAUGUGUGCUCGACCACACAAGGUUGAUGGGCGUGUAGUGGAACCAAAGAGAGCUGUUUAGAAGAGAGGAUUCUGUAAAGCCUGGUGCCUAUCUAACAGUGAAGAAAAUUUUUGUUGGUGGUAUUAAAGAAGAUACGGAAGAGUAUAAUUUGAGAGACUACUUUGAAAAGUAUGGCAAGAUUGAAACCAUAGAAGUUACGGAAGGCAGAGUGGAAAAAAGAGAGGAUUUGCUUUUGUAACUUUCAAUGAUCAUGAUACAGUUGAUAAAAUUGUUGUUUAGAAAUACCAUACUAUUAAUGGGCAUAAUUGUGAAGCGAAAAAGGCCCUUUCCAAACCAGAGAUGCUGUCUGCUGGAUCACAGAGAGGUCGUGGAGGUGGAUCUGGCAAUUUUAUGGGAGGAAACUUUGGAGGUGGUGGAGGUAAUUUUGGCUGGGGUGGAAACUUUGGUGGAAGAGGAGGUUAUGGUGGUGGAGGUGGUGGCAGCAGAGGUAGUUAUGGAGGAAGUGAUGGUGGAUAUAAUGGAUUUGGUGACGGUGGCAACUAUGGUGGUGGUCCUGGUUAUAGUAGUAGAGGGGGCUAUGGUGGUGGUGGACCAGGAUAUGGAAACCAAGGUGGUGGAUGUGGUGGCGGUGGUGGAGGAUACGAUGGUUACAAUGAAGGAGGAAAUUUUGGAGGUGGUAACUAUGGUGGUGGUGGGAACUAUCAUGAUUUUGGAAAUUAUAGUGGACAACAGCAAUCAAAUUAUGGACCCAUGAAAGGGGGCAGUUUCGGUGGAAGAAGCUCCGGCAGUCCCUGUGGUGGUGGUUAUGGAUCUGGUGGUGGAAGUGGUGGAUAUGGUAGCAGAAGGUUCUAAAAGCAGCAGAAAAGGGCUGCAGUUCUUAGCAGUAGAGAGAGCGAGGAGUUGUCAGGAAAGCUGCAGGUUACUUUGAGACAGUCGUCCCAAAUGCAUUAGAGGAACUGUAAAAAUCUGCCACAGAAGGAGCGAUGAUCCAUAGUCAGAAAAGUUACUGCAGCUUAAACAGGAAACCCUUCUUGUUGACUGUCAUAGCCACAGUUUGCAAAAAGUGCAGCUAUUGAUUAAUGCAAUGCAGUGUCAGUUAGAUGUACAUUCCUGAGGUCUUUUAUCUGUUGUAGCUUUGUCUUUUUCUUUUCAUUACAUCAGGUAUAUUGCCCUGUAAAUUGUGGUAGUGGUACCAGGAAUAAAAAAUUAAGGAAUUUUUAA